rnacentral:rRNA from 1 species
UACGAAGGGGGCUAGCGUUGCUCGGAAUCACUGGGCGUAAAGGGCGCGUAGGCGGCCGAUCAAGUCGGAGGUGAAAGCCCAGGGCUCAACCCUGGAAUGGCCUUCGAUACUGGUUGGCUCGAGACCGGAAGAGGUCAGUGGAACUGCGAGUGUAGAGGUGAAAUUCGUAGAUAUUCGCAAGAACACCAGUGGCGAAGGCGGCUCACUGGCCCGGAACUGACGCUGAGGUGCGAAAGCGUGGGGAGCAAACAGG